rnacentral:lncRNA from 1 species
UUAUUUCUGUAUCUUUAUACCUGUAUGUCAUUUUCUAAGUUGUCUUUUAACUGUACUGAUUGUAGAUGUGCUGUACAGAAGUCUGCUACCUGGAUUAUUCUUUGGGCUACGUUAGUGAUGACUAGAGUACAAUAAAUUUCUGGAAUCCUGGCCAUAACUGUGUCACCUGCUUCUGGACCAGAUGUCUCAAGUCACCAAGGAGUACGAGGCAGAGAGUGUGGCUAGAAUCCAGGUAUUUCCUGUUUUGGGAAGGCUGUUUCAAGUUCAAUUCCUGAAUCCCCACCCAGACCUCCUGGAGCAGAAUCUCUGA